rnacentral:lncRNA from 1 species
GAGCCACUGUGCCCGGCGAAUAGUUUAAAUUCUGAACAAACUGCCAAAGGACAGGUUGGUGGCUUCACUGUGCCAGUGGCUGUGGUUUUGCCUAGGACCUAAUGCAUGGGCACUGGAAUCACAAGGCCCGGGGUGCGAACGCUGCUGCCACCAUGCCCCAACUUUGUGACCUGGAGCUGCUAACUUCGAAAAGCACCUAUUUGCUUAGAACAUUAUAAAUUCUCCAAAAUGAUGGCUACUACCUGGCCAUUAAAUUAGUUUCAUUAUUAUUCUUUAGUCUUCUUCUGACCUUGUUUGAGGAAAAUCUUUCCUCUAAAUAAAUAUAAGGGGAUAAACUAUCUCCUGUAGAUACUGAUUUCAAAGUGUGGGGAUAGGGUAGGGAAAGUAAGCAGUUGCCUUUUC